rnacentral:rRNA from 1 species
UACGGAGGAUGCAAGCGUUAAUCGGAAUUACUGGGCGUAAAGCGUACGUAGGCGGCUUGUUAAGCAAGAUGUGAAAUCCCCGGGCUCAACCUGGGAAUGGCAUUUUGAACUGGCAGGCUCGAGUUCUGAAGAGGGUGGUAGAAUUUCCAGUGUAGCGGUGAAAUGCGUAGAUAUUGGAAGGAAUACCGGUGGCGAAGGCGGCCACCUGGUCAGAAACUGACGCUGAGGUACGAAAGCGUGGGGAGCAAACAGG